GAUGAAGAACGUAGCGAAAUGCGAUAAGUAGUGUGAAUUGCAGAACUCAGUGAAUCAUCGAAUCUUUGAACGCACAUUGCGCCCCUUGGUAUUCCAUGGGGCAUGCCUGUUCGAGCGUCAUUUGUACCUUCAAGCUUUGCUUGGUGUUGGGUGUUUGUCUCGCCUUUGCGUGUAGACUCGCCUUAAAAUAAUUGGCAGCCGGCGUAUUGAUUUCGGAGCGCAGUACAUCUCGCGCUUUGCACUCAUAACGACAGCGUCCAAAAGUACAUUUUACACUCUUGACCUCGGAUCAGGUAGGGAUACCCGCUGAACUUAAGCAUAUCAAUAAGCGGAGGA
rnacentral:misc_RNA from 1 species